UAGCUAGUUGGUGAGGUAAAGGCUUACCAAGGCGACGAUCUGUAGCGGGUCUGAGAGGAUGAUCCGCCACACUGGAACUGAGACACGGUCCAGACUCCUACGGGAGGCAGCAGUGGGGAAUUUUGGACAAUGGGGGCAACCCUGAUCCAGCCAUGCCGCGUGAGUGAAGAAGGCCUUCGGGUUGUAAAGCUCUUUCGGCCGGGAAGAAAUCGCAUGGGCCAAUACCCUGUGUGGAUGACGGUACCGGAAUAAGAAGCACCGGCUAACUACGUGCCAGCAGCCGCGGUAAUACGUAGGGUGCGAGCGUUAAUCGGAAUUACUGGGCGUAAAGCGUGCGCAGGCGGUUUUGUAAGACAGGCGUGAAAUCCCCGGGCUUAACCUGGGAACUGCGUUUGUGACUGCAAGGCUAGAGUACGGCAGAGGGGGGUGGAAUUCCACGUGUAGCAGUGAAAUGCGUAGAGAUGUGGAGGAACACCAAUGGCGAAGGCAGCCCCCUGGGUCGAUACUGACGCUCAUGCACGAAAGCGUGGGUAGCAAACAGGAUUAGAUACCCUGGUAGUCCACGCCCUAAACUAUGUCAACUAGGUGUUGGGUGGGUAAAACCAUUUAGUACCGUAGCUAACGCGUGAAGUUGACCGCCUGGGGAGUACGGCCGCAAGGUUAAAACUCAAAGGAAUUGACGGGGACCCGCACAAGCGGUGAUGAUGUGGAUUAAUUCGAUGCAACGCGAAAAACCUUACCUACCCUUGACAUGCCAGGAACUUGCCAGAGAUGGCUUGGUGCCCGAAAGGGAGCCUGGACACAGGUGCUGCAUGGCUGUCGUCAGCUCGUGUCGUGAGAUGUUGGGUUAAGUCCCGCAACGAGCGCAACCCUUGUCGUUAAUUGCCAUCAUUUAGUUGGGCACUUUAACGAGACUGCCGGUGACAAACCGGAGGAAGGUGGGGAUGACGUCAAGUCCUCAUGGCCCUUAUGGGUAGGGCUUCACACGUCAUACAAUGGUCGGUACAAAGGGUUGCCAAGCCGCGAGGCGGAGCCAAUCCCAGAAAGCCGAUCGUAGUCCGGAUUGCAGGCUGCAACUCGCCUGCAUGAAGUCGGAAUCGCUAGUAAUCGUGGAUCAGCAUGUCACGGUGAAUACGUUCCCGGGUCUUGUACACACCGCCCGUCACACCAUGGGAGCGGGUUCCGCCAGAAGUAGGUAGCCUAACCGCAAGGGGGGCGCUUACCACGGCGGGGUUCGUGACUGGGGUGAAGUCGAAACAAGGUAGCCGUAGGGGAACCUGCGGCUG
rnacentral:rRNA from 1 species